AGGACGAACGCUGGCGGCGUGCUUAACACAUGCAAGUGGAGCGACUAACCAGACUUCGGUCUGGGGCAAAGCCGCGAACGGGUGAGUAACACGUGGGUAACCUGCCCUGAUGAUUGGGACAACCCGAGGAAACUCGGGCUAAUACCAAAUGUGUCCAACACUUAUCAAGAGUGUUGUGUAAAGGUAGCUUCGGCUUCCGCAUCAGGAGGGGCCCGCGGCCCAUUAGCUCGUUGGUGAGGUAACGGCUCACCAAGGCUACGAUGGGUAGCUGGUCUGAGAGGAUGAUCAGCCACACUGGAACUGAGACACGGUCCAGACUCCUACGGGAGGCAGCAGUGGGGAAUCUUGCGCAAUGCGCGAAAGCGUGACGCAGCAACGCCGCGUGGGGAAGACGGCUUCGGGUUGUAAACCCUUUCAGUUGGGACGAAGCUCUGUCCGUUAAUAGCGGAUCAGAGUGACGGUACCUUCAGAAGAAGCUCCGGCUAACUACGUGCCAGCAG
rnacentral:rRNA from 1 species